CUUGGUCAUUUACGAGAGAAGUAAAAGUCGUAACAAGGUUUCCGUAGGUGAACCUGCGGAAGGAUCAUUACAGAAAGUAAACGCGGAUCAAACCGCGAACUUCUAAACCUUUGACGAUUGACUCAUGUUGCCUCGGCGGGUUCUCCCGCCAGAGGAUACAUCAAAACUCCUGUUUUAACGGUGUUGUCUGAGCUACAAGCAACGAAUCAAAACUUUCAACAACGGAUCUCUUGGUUCUGGCAUCGAUGAAGAACGCAGCGAAAUGCGAUAAGUAGUGUGAAUUGCAGAAUUCAGUGAAUCAUCGAAUCUUUGAACGCACAUUGCGCCCCUUGGUAUCCCGAGGGGCAUGCCUGUUCGAGCGUCAUUUCACCACUCAAGCCUGGCUUGGUGUUGGGCGACGUCCCCUUUAGGGACGCGCCUCGAAACGCUCGGCGGCGUGGCACCGGCUUUAAGCGUAGCAGAAUCUUUCGCUUUGAAAGUCGGGGCCCCGUCUGCCGGAAGACCUACUCGCAAGGUUGACCUCGGAUCAGGCAGGGAUACCCGAUGAACUUAAGCAUAUCAAUAAGCGGAGGA
rnacentral:rRNA from 1 species